CAAACCUCAAGCAUCUGCUUGCUGUUGGAGCAUUGCGUAGUCUCUUUUAGGGACCGCAAGCCCUGAAUUAUAGUGGCGGAGCUGCUGUAGACUCUGAGCGUAGUAAUACUAUUCGCUUCUGGAAUCUCGGUGGUUGCCUGCCGUAAAACCCACUAUAUUUUCUCUU
rnacentral:misc_RNA from 1 species